GAGAGAUCAUCUCUCUGAGCAAUCUCUGACGUUUGCUCAGCAGUUUUUCCAGCUGGUUGGUGGCUCAGCUAGCGAAUGUGACACCAUCCCUGGCAGACAGUGCAUGGCUUCUUGUUUCUUUCUGCUCAGGCAGUUUGAGGAUGUGCUCAUCUACCUCAACUCUGUCAAGACACUCCAACACUCCAAUUGAGUCCGCCAGAUCAGAGG